UACGUAGGGUGCGAGCGUUGUCCGGAAUUAUUGGGCGUAAAGAGCUUGUAGGCGGUCUGUCGCGUCUGCUGUGAAAAUCCGGGGCUCAACCCCGGACUUGCAGUGGGUACGGGCAGACUAGAGUGUGGUAGGGGAGACUGGAAAUCCUGGUGUAGCGGUGAAAUGCGCAGAUAUCAGGAGGAACACCGAUGGCGAAGGCAGGUCUCUGGGCCACUACUGACGCUGAGAAGCGAAAGCAUGGGGAGCGAACAGG
rnacentral:rRNA from 1 species